UGUUUUUAUGCCCAACUUAUGAUAGUAGAGGGGCAUUAUGUUUUCUGGUCUGUGCCUCCGUUCGUCCGUCCGCUUCAGGUUAAAGUUUUUGGUCAAGGUAGUUUUUGAUGAAGUUAAAGUUACAUCAACUUGAAACUUAGUACACAUGUUCCCUAUGAUAUGAUCUUUCUAGUUUUAAUUCCAAGUUAAAGUUUUGACCCCAA
rnacentral:lncRNA from 1 species